rnacentral:rRNA from 1 species
GACGAACGCUGGCGGCGCGCUUAACACAUGCAAGUCGAGCGAGAACCCAGGCUUCGGCCUGGGGGAAAGCGGCGAACGGGUGAGUAUCACGUGGGUAAUCUGCCCUCGGCAUCGGGAUAGCCCGGGGAAACCCGGAUUAAUACCGAAUGGCCCAUCCGCUCUUCGGAGUGGCUGGAAAAGGUAGCUUCGGCCUCCGGCCGAGGAGGAGCCCGCGGCGGAUUAGCUUGUUGGUGAGGUAACGGCUCACCAAGGCGACGAUCCGUAGCUGGGCUGAGAGGACGAUCAGCCACACUGGGGCUGAGACACGGCCCAGACUCCUACGGGAGGCAGCAGUGGGGAAUCUUGCGCAAUGGGCGAAAGCCUGACGCAGCGACGCCGCGUGCGGGAAGAAGGCCUUCGGGUUGUAAACCGCUUUCAGGAGGGACGAAGCCACUCAGGUUAAUAGCCGAGAGGGUGACGGUACCUCCAGAAGAAGCCCCGGCUAACUACGUGCCAGCAGCCGCUGUAACAC